CAGAUCCCGGCGCGCCCGGGAGGCGGGGAGGUGCGAGCGCGCGGCCGCGGCCGGAGCGGCGGUCUCCACGCCCACCUGGCCGAGCGGCAGGUCCGGGCGGCCUGCGCCCCGGUUCCCGUUAGCGCUGCUUGAGCGGGUCGUGCUUACCUACAUACUCACACAGGGCCCCCGGGCCCCCGCAGGCUGAGCAUGUGAGUCCCGGGAGGCAGGCGGCACCUGCACGUUUAAAAAGCUCCCCGGGUGCUUGCAGGGUGCCGCGUGUGGAGAACCCCCGUGAAGAAAGCUGAUCUGCUGGGGGUCAGCCCAGCGCCCCCGAGGGACAGGCUUAACUAGGUGUGGACAAGGUCGGAGAACUGAGGCCCCUUGAGGAGAUGGCUGCGAGGGGUCCAGCUGUGCUCCUCCUGCCCAGGUGGCGCAGGAGGGGGAAAGGGGGACCCAGACCGGUCACCAAGGCUGGGGCGGUGCCUGACUCGCGAGAAUGAGGGUGAGCUAGAUGCUGGUUUAGAAAUCCUGGAAGAAGAAAAUGAUUUGGCGGUUAAAACCGUAAGUCUUUUCGGCCAGGUGAGGAAGAAGCGGUUUUAACACUUGAAUGCAGUUUUUUAAAAAAACCUUAUGGAAGUCAGUUUUCCUACUCAAGAUAUUUUGUAACUUGAUAGCUCCAGUGACGUUUCUCUGUAUUAUCACCCCCCCCCCCCCAGCGCUGUGCAGUACCUUUAAAUAACAAUUGCAAUAAUUUUUACCAGAGCUAUAAAUAUCCGGUUAUCUUAAUAUCCUGGCAGUUAUCAAGAAUCUUACAGUAAGACCCAGGGCAGUAUUGCAAGUGUUGGGAAUAGGUGUGGCCUUUCUAUAAGAAUUACGGAUACAUUCUAGGUUGGCGUUUUGUGUUUGUAACAAGCUUCAAGAGUUUAUAAUAAUUGUGCAGAGUUCUUAAGAAUGAUACCCUUCUGUAUUGAGCGCUUAUUCUGCCAUGCCCUUUACCUACACGAUCUCUCACAUUCAGAGCACUGCUUUACAGGGAUGCCGCCUUUGGGCCAGUGAGAAACCGGCGCCCCUCUCGGCAGAUGGAUGAAGCCCAACCCCAGACCCCAGCUUUACUCAGCCCUUCAGCAAGGUGCCCUUGAGCUGUGAUCAACUGGCACCACAGAGGAGGAAGAUGAGAAAUGUGACCAGCUUUAACUCCCUGAAUUGCCUACAAAGUCUCCACUCUGAUCAAAUGGGUUUAUUCAUCUGGUGAUAGAAAAGAGCCUGUACUUUGCUAUCUUUCUGCCAUAGCACUUGCUGCUUCUCCAGGCUGGGAAGGCUGGAGAUCACUUUCUCUUUCUCCCCACGGAUCAAAUCGAAUUCAGAAAUACUGACGACUGAAGGAAGAGAUCAGCCUUGCCAUUUGUUCAGCACUGUACUUUGCACAUAGAAGGAGCUUGCACCUGUUUUACAAACAUGACUUAAGAGUCCAAUGUGGCGAUUUUUGAAGACGGAGUGGGAGAUGGAAGAGAAUUCUAGGCCUAGGAUGUUUGAGCUAAAAAAGUGAACAGUGGGGAUACAUUCAAAGAAAUAGUAGGCUAAGUUUUGCCAAAUGCUCUGAAGAUCAAGAAUGGCUGCAGAAGCUUAGCCUAUUUAGUAGACAUUUUUCAUCACAUGAUGUAGUUGAACAAGUAUCUUCAAGGACCUGGAGAAAAUAUUUUGAUUUCAAGUGACAAGAUUAUUGGUUUUAAGUAGAAAUUGAAUCUUUGGAAAAAUCAUAUGACAAAAAAGAAAUCCUGAAAUAGUUACACUGCUGCUUGCACUUGAGAGUGAAGAAGUUUCAAGUGUCAAGUUGAGACCAAAUCACUGGGGGAAAUUGCAGAACAAAACUGAACAGUAUUUUCCCUCCCUUUCAACACAAGUGUAUGGCUGAAUGAGGGCUCCUUUCUCUGAAUCUUCUUUUCAGCCUGAUCACCUAACUGUAAAAGAGGAAGAACUUUGUGAGUUGAUUAUUAUAAACGUAAGAUGAAAUUUACUGAUUUGCAAUUCUACAAGUUCUAGACUUCUGGGAAAGAAAGGCAUUCUGCCAUUCAUAGGAAAGUAAUAAACAUUUUACUAUAAGUUUCAAUUUCUUGUGUAAGCUUUUUGUCUAAUAAGC